AGAGUUUGAUCCUGGCUCAGGAUGAACGCUAGCGACAGCCUAACACAUGAAGUGGAGGGGUAUAGUAGCAAUACUAGAGACCGGGCGCACGGGUGCGUAACGCGUAUGUAACCUGCCUCACACUGGGGGAUAGCCUUCCGAAAGGGAGAUUAAUACCGCAUAAUAUUGUUUAUCUGCCUGGAUAGACAAUUAAAGCUUCGGUGGUGUGAGAUGGACAUGCGUAUGAUUAGCUAGUUGGCGGGGUAACGGCCCACCAAGGCGACGAUCAUUAGGGGUUCUGAGAGGAAGAUCCCCCACACUGGUACUGAGACACGGACCAGACUCCUACGGGAGGCAGCAGUGGGGGAUAUUGGACAAUGGGGGCAACCCUGAUCCAGCGAUGCCGCGUGUGUGAAGAAGGCCUGCGGGUUGUAAAGCACUUCCAGUGGGGAGGAGGGUAAGCGAGUUAAAAGCUAGAGUUACUGGACGUUACCCACAGAAGAAGCACCGGCAAACUCCGUGCCAGCAGCCGCGGUAAUACGGAGGGUGCGAGCGUUAAUCGGAAUUACUGGGCGUAAAGGGUGCGUAGGCGGUUUAAUAAGUUAUAUGUGAAAUACUUGGGCUUAACCUAGGUGCUGCAUGUAAUACCGUUAGGCUAGAGUAUGGUAGAGGGUAGUGGAAUUUCCGGUGUAGCGGUGAAAUGCGUAGAGAUCGGGAGGAACACUGGUGGCGAAGGCGGCUACCUGGACCAAUACUGACGCUGAGGCACGAAAGCGUGGGGAGCAAACAGGAUUAGAUACCCUGGUAGUCCAUGCUGUAAACGAUGUCAACUAGCUGUUUGUGUCAUUGAUGGCAUGAGUAGCGCAGCAAACGCGAUAAGUUGACCGCCUGGGGAGUACGGUCGCAAAAUUAAAACUCAAAGGAAUUGACGG
rnacentral:rRNA from 1 species